rnacentral:lncRNA from 1 species
CCCAGAAUAUCAAGGUUGAUAAUCCACAAUAUCUGCUUUGGUCUGGGUUAUCUGAGUCCACACUGCCAUAUAAUCCAGUUCAAUGUGGAUUUUAUAUAGCUGUGUGGAAAGGGCCUCAGUAACCCAUUGGGUUUUAUGGCCAACUAGGGAUUCAAACCCUUAUAUCUAGAGUCAUAGUCCAAUGCUCAUACCACUCCAUUACAAAAGUUCAAAUACAGUAGAGUCUCACUUAUCCAACAUUCUGCCGGCCCGUUUAUGUUGGAUAAGUGAGACUCUACUGUAUUUAUAUUCCGCCCUUCUCACCCCGAAGGGGACUCAGGGUGGAUCACAUUACACAUAUAGGCAAACAUUCAAUGCCUUAACAUAGAACAAAGAGAGAAGACAAACGCAGGCUCCGAGCUGGCCUAGAACUCAUGACCUCUUGGUCAGAGUGAUUUGUUGCAGCUGGCUGCAGCUGGCUGCUCAACAGCCUGCACCACAGCCCGGGCCACGGUCAUGGCAAUGAAGUGAUGCUAAACCGCACUCAUUCUACAAUGAAGACGAGGCCAGAGAGAAGUCAGAGAAGAGAGAGGAUGCACCCCACCCUUCUCAUCCCGAAGGGGACUCAUGGCAGAUCACAUUACACAUAUAGGCAAACAUUCAAUGCCUUAACAUAGAACAAAGACAGAAGACAAACACAGGCUCCGAGCUGGCCUCGAACUCAUGACCUCUUGGUCAGAGUGAUUUGUUGCAGCUGGCUUCUCAACAGCCUGCGCCACAGCCCGGGCCACGGUCAUGGCAAUGAAGUGAUGCUAAACCGCACUCAUUCUACAAUGAAGACGAGGCCAGAGAGAAGUCAGAGAAGAGAGUGGAUGCACCUUCUGCAAUAGCCAAAGAAAGCACAUGCAUGAGCAUAAAGCGGACUUGCAUUUGUCAGUAACAGGAUGGAGGCCCAAGUGUUAUUUGUCUUGAGUCUCUUCCAGACUCUGUGAAUUACAACAGUGCACCCUAGACAACAAGGUGGCAUGAUAUUGCAUUAAACCCAGCCAAUUCUACCAUGCUCCUUCAAGCUUCAGGCCUUCUGCUUCCAUCUCUGGUGUCAGAGACAUAUUUCCAGCCUCUUUCUCCUGAUGGAACCUGACCGUGCCGUUCCAUCAUCCUUCCCCAUGAGACAAUCUGGCCGCGUUCAAUUCCCACCUAUAGGACACUGUAGGCUCUGCAGCUACGAAGCUGCCUCGGUUGGCAGUGAU